UGUUUGCUAGGUGAUGCCCAGAGCCGGGAGACGAUGGCCUACUCCACGUGAAGGACCUCCACUAUGUUCCAGAGCCGGGAGACGAUGGCCUACUCCACGUGAAGGACCUCCACUAUGUUCCAGAGCCGGGAGACGAUGGCCUACUCCACAUGAAGGACCUCCACUCUGUUCCAGAGCCGGGAGACGAUGGCCUACUCCACGUGAAGGACCACCACUAUGUUCCAGAGCCAGGCCAGCCACCUGGACUAACACAGAUACAGAAAUAACAGAAUGAAGUCGCCCACAAUCCCGGAUCUUAGUUUUGUCAGUUUGUGUUUUCUGGUCCGGAUGAUGAUCCUAGAUCUGUUCCUAAGGGAGCAGUGUCUUCCUGUGACUGACCUUAUGGAGCAGCAUAAUCCAAGAUUACUGAACAGAAUGAGGCAAGUAUAACUCUAGUUUUAUAACAACAUUUAGAAAUACUAUUUACCACAGUUGAUGAAGGUGUCCAACAGAUGUUCUUUAGUGAGACCCCUGUCCACCUCCACCCAGAUGUCACAGGCCACACCCACAGACUCCUGCUUCAUCUUGAUGCAGAGGGAAGUCUGAUUGGCUAGGUACUCUUGACAGGUCCCCUUACGGCCCAUAACACAAAGUGACACACUAAGCGUCCUUUCUAUCCUGUCCUUUAUUAGCAAGCAGUUUCAGACACACUUAUGGAGAAAGGCAGAGAAUUAGGACACAGCCACAUUUUCAUUCCCCAAAAUAUGUGGCCAGUAUACAUGUGGCCAGUAGAGGGCACAAAAAUACUAAACCCAAAAUCCAAGUGACCUGUUUUGUGAAUCCAUAUAAUCAUAUUCUAUUUCUCCUCUUUCCUUGUGUGUGUGUGUGUGUGUGUGUGUGUGCGCGUGCGUGUGUGUGUAUGUGUGUACCAGGAAGAUGUAGUUCUGAAGCAGCUGAAGAGGCAUGAGGGAUUCCAGGGCCAGCUCAUCAAGGCACGACCCCUGACAGGCCUGUCAAGAAACACAAAAACAGACAGGAAAUGAGCAAAUCACAACACACACACUCAUAUGCAGACACAUAGACAUAUGAAGACAAACAGACAGACAGACAGACAGACAGACAGACACACACACACACACACAACAGUUCAAUUCAGACACAUAGACAUUUGCUCCCAAGUGGCGCAGCGGUCUAAUUCAAUGAAGACACACACACAGUGUUUGACAGUGCUUUAAAUUUCAGCUACGCUGUCUCAGUGUCAGAAACUAGAGGAAUCUUCCCAGUGCUGUCAAAACACAGUGUUCUAAGCAGACAGGAAAUGAGCCAGCCAGCAUUACACAGCAGAAAGAGAAACAGCUAGCUAAAGCUUCCCAGGCAACACUACAACACUCUGGCAGUGGGUGGAUAGGGGAUCAAUAAAGACCCGAAUCAGGUACACACACGCACACAUUCAUACACACACACACACAUUCAUAUACACACACACACACAUUAACAACAGCACCACACUGUAUAAAAACACACAAUACAUGCUAUACUCAAGCACACACACACACGUGCAUACCGACAAUAAAUACAGUACAAAAACUUAAACCUCCACAUACUGUGUCUAGACAACUUUACUUCAACAUUGCACAUUUACACAGUUGAUACUUUAAAGGUUCUGUAAGCACACAC
ensembl:lncRNA